UUUGAGAGACCCCCCAAACCCUAAGCAAGACCCCAUUCUCUCAUCUUCCUUACCUCUCCCAAAUCCCCUCUAAAAUCCUAGCCGCCCUAAUUUCUCCAAACCCACUGACCGGCAGUCACCACCCCAAACCUCCUCAAAUUCACACUCCACAAUUCUCACACUCUCCUAAUUCCUAAACCCCCAUCGAUUUCCCCAGAAAACCACCUAAACUUCCCAAUUUUUAGAUCUAGAAAAAGCUAGAAAACCCUAAGUCUGUCUCUCUCUUAAUCUCUGAUUCGUUUUGGCUCAAACUCACGUGAAUCGAUUGUCCUUAACACGAGCAAUCGAUUCAUGUUAGUUUUGGUUCAUUCUGAGACUCACCGGACCUUCGUCACAGUCACUGACCGGCCAAGCCUUGUCAAAAACUGCUCUAAUUGAACCGUCUUUCUUUUCAUAGGAGUAUAUUUGACAAUGGAUUGGCAUGUAAAGGAGUUGUACGAGGCACUAUUUUGCAGAGCUUGGUCGCAUCUCUUGCUCGAAGUAGUUUCACUAAUUGUGGUUUAUCAACAUGUAGGUUUCGAGAUGUUAAAGUAUGAAUUUUAAAUUGGGGAUAAUAUUGUAUAGUAAUUCAAUUUGAGUUGGUGUUUAAAAUGCCUCAGCCUGUUGUAAUUAAGUACGGGCAUAGCUAAUUUUUCUUUAAAAUGCUAGAUUAAUCACAUUUUUUUUGACAUAACAUGUUUGCUUCCUUGUAAUUUGUUAUCAUGUAUGUGUUGGGCCUAGCCACUACACAGGCCCGUAGUUACUGUAUUUCAUCCAAAUUCGAAUU